rnacentral:rRNA from 1 species
UUCCUACGGGAGGCAGCAGUGGGGAAUAUUGCACAAUGGGCGAAAGCCUGAUGCAGCGACGCCGCGUGAGGGAUGACGGCCUUCGGGUUGUAAACCUCUUUCAGUAGGGAAGAAGCGAAAGUGAC